rnacentral:rRNA from 1 species
GACGAACGCUGGCGGCGUGCUUAACACAUGCAAGUCGAACGGGUCUGCCCUGUUUUUUGCGGGGUGGGUCAGUGGCGAACGGGUGAGUAACACGUGAGUAACCUGCCCCUCACUUCUGGAUAACCGCUUGAAAGGGUGGCUAAUACGGGGUGUUCUGGCUGUGCCGCAUGGUGUGGCUGGGAAAGAUUCACUUUUGUGGUGUUUUGGUGGGGGAUGGGCUCGCGGCCUAUCAGCUUGUUGGUGGGGUGAUGGCCUGCCAAGGCUUUGACGGGUAGCCGGCCGGGGAGGGUGGGCGGUCACACUGGGACUGAGAUACGGCCCAGACUCCUGCGGGAGGCAGCAGUGGGGGGUAUUGCACAAUGGGCGGAAGCCUGAUGCAGCGACGUCGCGUGAGGGAUGGAGGCCUUCGGGUUGUGAACCUCUUUCGCCGGUGAAGAAGGUCCUGCUCUUUGUGGUGGGGUUGACGGUAGCCGGGUUAUGAAGCGCCGGCUAACUACGUG